UACGGAGGGUGCAAGCGUUGUCCGGAUUUAUUGGGUUUAAAGGGUGCGUAGGCGGUCUUACAAGUCAGUGGUGAAAGUUCCCAGCUUAACUGGGAAAGUGCCAUAGAAACUGUAAGACUUGAGUAUACCAUAGGCAGGCGGAAUUUAUAAUGUAGCGGUGAAAUGCAUAGAUAUUAUAAAGAACUCCGAUAGCGAAGGCAGCUUGCUUGAGUAUAACUGACGCUGAUGCACGAAAGCGUGGGUAGCGAACAGG
rnacentral:rRNA from 1 species